rnacentral:rRNA from 1 species
AUGCUUCGGAAUCUGCCCUUCAGUGGGGAAUAACCAGUCGAAAGAUUGGCUAAUACCGCAUACGAACUACGGUUGAAAGCAGGGGAUCGCAAGACCUUGCGCUGAUGGAUGAGCCGAAGUCGGAUUAGCUUGUUGGUGGGGUAACGGCCUACCAAGGCGACGAUCCGUAGCUGGUCUGAGAGGACGACCAGCCACACUGGGACUGAGACACGGCCCAG